UACGUAGGGUGCGAGCGUUGUCCGGAAUUAUUGGGCGUAAAGAGCUCGUAGGCGGUGUGUCGCGUCGGCCGUGAAAACCUGGGGCUUAACUCUGGGCGUGCGGUCGAUACGGGCAUCACUGGAGUUCGGCAGGGGAGACUGGAAUUCCUGGUGUAGCGGUGAAAUGCGCAGAUAUCAGGAGGAACACCGGUGGCGAAGGCGGGUCUCUGGGCCGAUACUGACGCUGAGGAGCGAAAGCCAGGGGAGCAAACGGG
rnacentral:rRNA from 1 species